rnacentral:rRNA from 1 species
UGGGGAAUAUUGCACAAUGGGCGCAAGCCUGAUGCAGCCAUGCCGCGUGUGUGAAGAAGGCCUUCGGGUUGUAAAGCACUUUCAGCGAGGAGGAAGGUGGUGAGCUUAAUACGCUCAUCAAUUGACGUUACUCGCAGAAGAAGCACCGGCUAACUCCGUGCCAGCAGCCGCGGUAAUACGGAGGGUGCAAGCGUUAAUCGGAAUUACUGGGCGUAAAGCGCACGCAGGCGGUUUGUUAAGUCAGAUGUGAAAUCCCCGGGCUCAACCUGGGAACUGCAUUUGAAACUGGCAAGCUAGAGUCUCGUAGAGGGGGGUAGAAUUCCAGGUGUAGCGGUGAAAUGCGUAGAGAUCUGGAGGAAUACCGGUGGCGAAGGCGGCCCCCCUGGACGAAGACUGACGCUCAGGUGCGAAAGCGUGGGGCAGCAAACAGGAUUAGAUACCCUGGUAGUCCACGCUGUAAACGAUGUCGAUUUUGGAGGUUGUGCCCUUGAGGCGUGGCUUCCGGAGCUAACGCGUUAAAUCGACCGCCUGGGGAGUACGGCCGCAAGGUUAAAACUCAAAGGAAUUGACGGGGUCUAGCUG